UACGAAGGGGGCUAGCGUUGUUCGGAUUUACUGGGCGUAAAGCGCACGUAGGCGGAUCGUUAAGUCAGGGGUGAAAUCCCGGAGCUCAACUUCCGAAUGCCUUUGAUACUGGUCGUAUCUUGAGUCCGGGAGAGGUGAGUGGGAAUUCCUAGUGUAGAGGUGAAAUUCGUAGAUAUUAGGAAGAACACCAGUGGCGAAGGCGGCUCACUGGCCCGGUACUGACGCUCAUGUGCGAAAGCGUGGGGAGCAAACAGGG
rnacentral:rRNA from 1 species